UAGGGAAUCUUCCACAAUGGACGCAAGUCUGAUGGAGCAACGCCGCGUGAGUGAAGAAGGUUUUCGGACCGUAAAGCUCUGUUGUUGGUGAAGAAGGAUAGAGGUAGUAACUGGCCUUUAUUUGACGGUAAUCAACCAGAAAGUCACGGCUAACUACGUGCCAGCAGCCGCGGUAAUACGUAGGUGGCAAGCGUUGUCCGGAUUUAUUGGGCGUAAAGCGAGCGCAGGCGGAAGAAUAAGUCUGAUGUGAAAGCCCUCGGCUUAACCGAGGAAUUGCAUCGGAAACUGUUUUCUUGAGUGCAGAAGAGGAGAGUAGAGCUCCAUGUGUAGCGGUGGAAUGCGUAGAUAUAU
rnacentral:rRNA from 1 species